GAUCCUGGCUCAGAUUGAACGCUGGCGGCAGGCUUAACACAUGCAAGUCGAGCGGGGAAAGGUAGCUUGCUACCUGACCUAGCGGCGGACGGGUGAGUAAUGCUUAGGAAUCUGCCUAUUAGUGGGGGACAACGUUCCGAAAGGAACGCUAAUACCGCAUACGCCCUACGGGGGAAAGCAGGGGAUCUUCGGACCUUGCGCUAAUAGAUGAGCCUAAGUCGGAUUAGCUAGUUGGUGGGGUAAAGGCCUACCAAGGCGACGA
rnacentral:rRNA from 1 species